CACGUGAUGACACAGAGGAGACACACACAGUGGAGAAGGCCACGUGAAGACAGAGGUUGCAGUUAUGCUGCCAUAAGCCAAGGAAUGCCCAGGCUUGCUAGCAACCCCCAGGAGCUGGAAAAGUAUUUUCUAACUCUUCUACAAUGAACGUGUCAUGCAAAAAGAGUAAGCGAUGGAAUUUACAUUAAAAAGUGACUUGAAAAAUAGUAUCCCUUCAACCUAGAAGGAUCAUCUCAUCUCAGUUUUUGGACCCUCGCCCAAAUCAUCCUUUGAAAAUACUCAUGUGAGAUCACAUCAAUAAAACUUCCUUGCAUUCUCUCCUGAACUCCUUCUGUUACAAUAUUAGAGGGAAGAAUACCCAAGUUGUAUUUGGAGCCCCUGUUUUCUUAAGAUUAUAAUCCAUGGAGAUUCAAGAUGCAGGAGAAAAAACUUAAAGGGGGAGUCUUCAUUCUGACAAUAAGAUUUGUGAAUUUCCACUUGCUUUCUUGUCAAAAGGGAUAGGAAAGAUGCGAAGAGAGAGUUCUCUGGCUGAAGAAUUAACUUCCAAUCAGCUUGGAACUCCAGGAACUGUUCAUGUGAACAAGCUCAAUUUCACACUCUGUUCUUCUCAUCUUUAAGAUCCAAGAAAGUAAAUUCAACAGGAAACAGUUAUUUUAGGCUAGUGCCACAUCAAUAUACUUUGUGUUUCUCAAGUGUAGAUGCAGCGGGAAGAAGGCAACUUAGCUCAAUCUGAAACUGUAUGAACAGGAGCAUUUCGGCUUGCUGGGCUGCAGCGUUCCUAGUGGCCAACAGGUGUAUAAAACACAUCUGCCCAUUUCUUUCAGCUCCGUUUCUGUGGGCUUACUGGUUUCCAGAGUUGAGUGGCCUAGAUAUUUUUCUAAGUGACAACUUCUUAACCUAGGACCCACUGAUGGGUUUCGGGGGGUCUAUGAAUGAGUUAAAUUUGUAAGUGCAAAGAAUUGAAACCUUAUUGUACUGAAUUUUUAAAGCCAUUAUUAUGAGGAAGGAUAAUAUCAUGAAUGAGAGAGCUGCAUAAAUGCUUUAAAUGGAGAGGCUCUGAAAACGCCUGUUGCCUUAAAUGUAAUAGAUCCCUUCCACUGAUUUGCCAGGGUGCACAAAAUUCUUUUCAUUAGCAUAGCCCUGUAGAACCUCCUUGGAUUAAGCUUCAAGAGCUUCUGAGGGCUUCCAUUUCCUUUAGUGACAGGCUAGGUUAUUCGGAUGAACCCUCCUGCCAAAAAUAACAAAAAAUGCUCCAUAAAACACAGAAACAUUCCCUCCCUUUAAAAUAUUUACAUGAUUAAAAGAGACGGGAGAAUCUCUUGAACCUGGGAGGCAGAGGUUGCUGUGAGCCGAGAUCGUGCCACUGCACUCCAGCCUGGUUGACAGAGGGAGACUCUGCCUCAAAAAAAAAAAAAAAAAAGAUAAUGUGGGAACUGCCAGGUCAAAUUUCCCAGAGAAGUAAGCUGAAUAUCAGUACACCAAAGCCACUUGUUAUGAAGUGAAUGUGUAUGUCCCUCACCCCAAAAUUCAUAUGUUGAAAUCCUAACCCUGAAUGUGAUGGCAUUAGGAGGUGGGGCAUUUAGGAGGCAAUUAGGUCAUGAGGGUAGAGCCCUCAUGAAUGGGAGUGGUGCCCUAUAAAAGGGAUCCUAGAGAGCUCUCUCUGCUCUCUGCCAUAUGAGGAUACAAGGAGAAGUCAAUAGUAUUCAACUUGGCAGAGGGCACUCACCAGAAAUGAUCGUGCUGGCACCCUGAUCGCAGACUUCCAAGCUCCAGGACUGUGAGAAAGAAAUUUCUGUUGUUUAAUCCACCCAGUCUAUGGCACUUUGUUAUAGCAGCCCAAAUGGACUGAGGAACUACUUUUACUCUGUGAAUAUUUGCUGGUACUGAAUACUUUAAGCAUCAGUUCUACGGCCUCAAGGGGCAAGGUGCAGAGAAGUCAAGGCCCAGGUCCCACUCAAGGUAAGGAGUCCUACAGCAAACCCAAUCCACAUGAAGUCGAGCCUCUAAAGGGCUCUAAGUUAGGGUAGGGAUGAACCACAACUAAAAUAGGCCUUCUCUAUUAAUCAGAGUUUGGUCAGGAAAACAGGA
rnacentral:lncRNA from 1 species